UGUAGUAGCAAUAAGUAGCAUGUGUUCCUUAUCUCACGGAAUUUAACAUUAACACGGAGUUAAUUUAUUGUCACCUGUCAAGUUUUUCGAAAACACCUGCUAAAACAAAAAGGAAAGAGGAGCAUUAAUGGUGCCAGGAAUGUAGAUAUGACCAAAGGGUGCACAAUGAUUUGCCGACCAAUCACGCAAUGAUUUAUCGACCAAUCACACAACGAUUUGCCGACCAAUCACACAACGAUUUACCGACCAAUGAGUGUGCCCAGUAGAGCCUAUCGACAUAAACUGAUCAAUCACGUGUCGGUAAAGCGUUUUUACUGGCCAUCUUUACAAUACCGCCUUUUUUAAAAUCUUCUAUCGAUCAAUAUUUAUACCUUUUUAUUUAAUUAAUUCAUUUUUAUAUACAUUUCUAGUUCUUUUUAUUCACUUAUUUUUAUUUUCUUAGUUACAAGACAAAGUCUACCGUAUGAAAUUAAAACUAGAGUCGAAAUCUGUAUUUCUAUUUUUUAUUAUAAUCAUAUAUGUAUGUUA